rnacentral:rRNA from 1 species
CCAAGUUUUUAAGGGCGCACGGUGGAUGCCUUGGCACCAGGAACCGAUGAAGGACGUGGGAGGCCACGAUAGUCCCCGGGGAGCUGUCAACCAAGCUUUGAUCCGGGGGUUUCCGAAUGGGGAAACCCGGCAGUCGUCAUGGGCUGUCACCCGCUGCUGAACACAUAGGCAGUGUGGAGGGAACGAGGGGAAGUGAAACAUCUCAGUACCCUCAGGAAGAGAAAACAACCGUGAUUCCGGGAGUAGUGGCGAGCGAAACUGGAUGAGGCCAAACCGUAUGCGUGUGAUACCCGGCAGGGGUUGCGCAUACGGGGUUGUGGGAUCUCUCUUUCACAGUCUGCCGGCUGUGAGGCGAGUCAGAAACCGUUGAUGUAGGCGAAGGACAUGCGAAAGGUCCGGCGUAGAGGGUAAGACCCCCGUAGCUGAAACAUCAACGGCUCGUUUGAGAGACACCCAAGUAGCACGGGGCCCGAGAAAUCCCGUGUGAAUCUGGCGGGACCACCCGCUAAGCCUAAAUAUUCCCUGGUGACCGAUAGCGGAUAGUACCGUGAGGGAAUGGUGAAAAGUACCGCGGGAGCGGAGUGAAAUAGUACCUGAAACCGUGUGCCUACAAGCCGUGGGAGCGUCGCUGUAUGUGCUUGCACAUGCAGUCGUGACUGCGUGCCUUUUGAAGAAUGAGCCUGCGAGUUAGCGGUGUGUAGCGAGGUUAACCCGUGUGGGGAAGCCGUAGCGAAAGCGAGUCCGAAUAGGGCGAUUGAGUUGCACGCUCUAGACCCGAAGCGGAGUGAUCUAGCCAUGGGCAGGUUGAAGCGGAGGUAAGACUUCGUGGAGGACCGAACCCACCAGGGUUGAAAACCUGGGGGAUGACCUGUGGUUAGGGGUGAAAGGCCAAUCAAACUCCGUGAUAGCUGGUUCUCCCCGAAAUGCAUUUAGGUGCAGCGUCGUGUGUUUCUUGCCGGAGGUAGAGCACUGGAUAGGCGAUGGGCCCUACCGGGUUACUGACCUUAGCCAAACUCCGAAUGCCGGUAAGUGAGAGCACGGCAGUGAGACUGUGGGGGAUAAGCUCCAUGGUCGAGAGGGAAACAGCCCAGAGCAUCGACUAAGGCCCCUAAGCGUACGCUAAGUGGGAAAGGAUGUGGAGUCGCAGAGACAACCAGGAGGUUGGCUUAGAAGCAGCCACCCUUGAAAGAGUGCGUAAUAGCUCACUGGUCAAGUGAUUCCGCGCCGACAAUGUAGCGGGGCUCAAGCGUACCGCCGAAGUCGUGUCAUUCCAGCAUGUACCCCCAACGGGGGCUGGGAUGGGUAGGGGAGCGUCGUGUGCCGGGUGAAGCAGCCGCGGAAGCGAGUUGUGGACGGUUCACGAGUGAGAAUGCAGGCAUGAGUAGCGAUACACACGUGAGAAACGUGUGCGCCGAUUGACUAAGGGUUCCUGGGUCAAGCUGAUCUGCCCAGGGUAAGUCGGGACCUAAGGCGAGGCCGACAGGCGUAGUCGAUGGACAACCGGUUGAUAUUCCGGUACCCGCUUUGAAACGCCCAAUACUGAAUCAGGCGAUGCUAAGUCCGUGAAGCCGGCCCGAUCUCUUCGGAGUUGAGGGUAGUGGUGGAGCCGACGAACCAGACUUGUACUAGGUAAGCGAUGGGGUGACGCAGGAAGGUAGUCCAGCCCGGGCGGUGGUUGUCCCGGGGUAAGGGUGUAGGACGCACGGUAGGUAAAUCCGUCGUGCACAUAGUCUGAGACCUGAUGCCGAGCCGAUUGUGGUGAAGUGGAUGAUCCUAUGCUGUCGAGAAAAGCCUCUAGCGAGUUUCAUGGCGGCCCGUACCCUAAACCGACUCAGGUAGUCAGGUAGAGAAUACCGAGGCGUUCGGGUGAACUAUGGUUAAGGAACUCGGCAAAAUGCCCCCGUAACUUCGGGAGAAGGGGGGCCAUCACUGGUGAUCCGAUUUACUCGGUGAGCUGGGGGUGGCCGCAGAGACCAGCGAGAAGCGACUGUUUACUAAAAACACAGGUCCGUGCGAAGCCGUAAGGCGAUGUAUACGGACUGACGCCUGCCCGGUGCUGGAACGUUAAGGGGACCGGUUAGUGCACUUUCGGGUGUGCGAAGCUGAGAACUUAAGCGCCAGUAAACGGCGGUGGUAACUAUAACCAUCCUAAGGUAGCGAAAUUCCUUGUCGGGUAAGUUCCGACCUGCACGAAUGGCGUAACGACUUCUCGACUGUCUCAACCAUAGGCCCGGUGAAAUUGCACUACGAGUAAAGAUGCUCGUUUCGCGCAGCAGGACGGAAAGACCCCGGGACCUUUACUAUAGUUUGAUAUUGGUGUUCGGUUCGGCUUGUGUAGGAUAGGUGGGAGACUUUGAAGCGGCCACGCCAGUGGUUGUGGAGUCGUCGUUGAAAUACCACUCUGGUCGUGCUGGAUGUCUAACCUGGGUCCGUGAUCCGGAUCAGGGACAGUGUCUGAUGGGUAGUUUAACUGGGGCGGUUGCCUCCUAAAGAGU